GACGAACGCUGGCGGCGUGCCUAAUACAUGCAAGUCGAGCGGACUUUUGGGAGCUUGCUCCUAAAAGUCAGCGGCGGACGGGUGAGUAACACGUGGGCAACCUGCCUAUAAGACUGGGAUAACUUCGGGAAACCGGAGCUAAUACCAGAUAAUUCUUUUCCUCUCAUGAGGAAAAGCUGAAAGACGGCUUACGCUGUCACUUAUAGAUGGGCCCGCGGCGCAUUAGCUAGUUGGUGGGGUAACGGCUCACCAAGGCGACGAUGCGUAGCCGACCUGAGAGGGUGAACGGCCACACUGGGACUGAGACACGGCCCAGACGCCUACGGGAGGCAGCAGUAGGGAAUCUUCCGCAAUGGACGAAAGUCUGACGGAGCAACGCCGCGUGAGUGAUGAAGGUUUUCGGAUCGUAAAACUCUGUUGUUAGGGAAGAACAAGUACGAGAGUAACUGCUCGUACCUUGACGGUACCUAACCAGAAAGCCACGGCUAACUACGUGCCAGCAGCCGCCGUAACAC
rnacentral:rRNA from 1 species